rnacentral:rRNA from 1 species
GGAUAGAGAUGGGCUCGCGUGACAUUAGCUAGUUGGUAGGGUAACGGCUUACCAAGGCGACGAUGUCUAGGGGCUCUGAGAGGAGAAUCCCCCACACUGGUACUGAGACACGGACCAGACUCCUACGGGAGGCAGCAGUAAGGAAUAUUGGUCAAUGGGCGGAAGCCUGAACCAGCCAUGCCGCGUGCAGGAUGACUGCCCUAUGGGUUGUAAACUGCUUUUGUCCAGGAAUAAACCUUUCUACGUGUAGGAAGCUGAAUGUACUGGAAGAAUAAGGAUCGGCUAACUCCGUGCCAGCAGCCGCGGUAAUACGGAGGAUCCGAGCGUUAUCCGGAUUUAUUGGGUUUAAAGGGUGCGUAGGCGGCCUAUUAAGUCAGGGGUGAAAUACGGUGGCUCAACCAUCGCAGUGCCUUUGAUACUGAUGGGCUUGAAUCCAUUUGAAGUGGGCGGAAUAAGACAAGUAGCGGUGAAAUGCAUAGAUAUGUCUUAGAACUCCGAUUGCGAAGGCAGCUCACUAAGCUGGUAUUGACGCUGAUGCACGAAAGCGUGGGGAUCGAACAGGAUUAGAUACCCUGGUAGUCCACGCCCUAAACGAUGAUAACUCGAUGUUGGCGAUAGACAGCCAGCGUCCAAGCGAAAGCGUUAAGUUAUCCACCUGGGGAGUACGCCCGCAAGGGUGAAACUCAAAGGAAUUGACGGGGGCCCGCACAAGCGGAGAGCAUGUGGUUUAAUUCGAUGAUACGCGAGGACUUACCGGCUGAAGUAGUGAAGAAUGCAGAGACGCAUCGUCUUCGGGACACGAACUAGUGCUGCAUGCU